UACGUAGGGUGCGAGCGUUAAUCGGAAUUACUGGGCGUAAAGCGUGCGCAGGCGGUGAUGUAAGACCGAUGUGAAAUCCCCGGGCUUAACCUGGGAACUGCAUUGGUGACUGCAUCGCUCGAGUAUGGCAGAGGGGGGUAGAAUUCCACGUGUAGCAGUGAGAUGCGUAGAGAUGUGGAGGAAUACCGAUGGCGAAGGCAGCCCCCUGGGUCAAUACUGACGCUCAUGCACGAAAGCGUGGGGAGCAAACAGG
rnacentral:rRNA from 1 species